rnacentral:misc_RNA from 1 species
AACGCACAUUGCGCCCUCUGGUAUUCCGGGGGGCAUGCCUGUCCGAGCGUCAUUACGCAACUCAAGCCCGGCUUGUGUGAUGGGUCCCGCGUCCCUUGUUGUGUGGGGAUGGGCCCAAAACGCUGUGGCGAUGUUAUGGCCGGAAAUUGUGAGUGUAUGGGGCUUUGUCACACGCUCGCACAUGGCCAUGGUGUCUGCCCUGACCCUUCAGUCUUCAGGUUGACCUCGGAUCAGGUAGGGAUACCCGCUGAACUUAA